rnacentral:tRNA from 1 species
AGGGCGGUGGCUCAAUUGGUAGAGCAACGGUCUCCAAAACCGUCGGUUGCAGGUUCGAGUCCUGUCCGCCCUG